rnacentral:rRNA from 1 species
CCUACGGGAGGCAGCAGUAGGGAAUCUUCCACAAUGGACGAAAGUCUGAUGCAGCAACGCCGCGUGAGUGAAGAAGGGUUUCGGCUCGUAAAGCUCUGUUGGUAGGGAAGAAAGAUAGAGGUAGUAACUGGCCUUUAUUUGACGGUAAUUACUUAGAAAGUCACGGCUAACUACGUGCCAGCAGCCGCGGUAAUACGUAGGUGGCAAGCGUUGUCGGGAUUUAUUGGGCGUAAAGCGAGUGCAGGCGGUUGAAUAAGUCUGAUGUGAAAGCCUUCGGCUCAACCGGAGAAUUGCAUCAGAAACUGUUGAACUGGAGUGCAGAAGAGGAGAGUGGAACUCCAGGUGUAGCGGUGGAAUGCGUAGAUAUAUGGAAGAACACCAGUGGCGAAGGCGGCUCUCUGGUCUGCAACUGACGCUGAGGCUCGAAAGCAUGGGUAGCGAACAGGAUUAGAUACCCGUGUAGUC